UACAGAGGGGGCAAGCGUUAUUCGGAAUUAUUGGGCGUAAAGGGCGCGUAGGCGGCCUGGCAAGUGGAAGGUGAAAUCCCUCGGCUUAACCGAGGAACUGCCUUCCAAACUGCUUGGCUUGAGUCCGGGAGAGGUGAGUGGAAUUCCCAGUGUAGCGGUGAGAUGCGUAGAUAUUGGGAGGAACACCAGUGGCGAAGGCGGCUCACUGGACCGGAACUGACGCUGAGGCGCGAAAGCGUGGGGAGCAAACGGG
rnacentral:rRNA from 1 species